CGAUGAAUCAUCCUGGGUUUUUUAUUCCUUAGGUAUGCCAUGACAAAGAGGAUAAAACAAUAAAAAUAAAUAAAUUUAUAGGAACAAUGUGACUCAAGUACCAUGGCUUUUGUGCUGGAUCCGCCACCGUCGAGCGCACAAAUGCGGAACUUCGAGGAUUUUCGUCAAUUACGUGUCUCACUCAUGCGGUCGAAUCAGCCCGAGUGCCUUGUUCCUUGGUUAACAUAAACAACACCUCACGCCUGUAGCACUGUACUACUGCCCAUGGCCAUGAAUCUCCAAGAUGGCCGAAUAACAGCCCAGCUUCAAAGUCGGCCAGCAACAACAUCUUCUUUGCAUCAGACACUAUCCAUCUGGAUCGCGGGAACGGAAUGAAUCCCCGAUGAGUAAAGUUCAUUUUAAACCCUGUGCUUGUAGAACUUGUCCAAAUCAAAUCCCCAUUUCUAAAUUCCUGAAGUUGGCACCCUAAACUUAUUAAUCCCGGUCAAAUAUAACCUUUGAUUCGUUUGGCAGUCCGGGAAUCCUGGUCGGUAUUAUUAGCAGCUCUAAUUACACCCACUGGCGUCAUUGUCCCACACAUAUUCCUCUUCUUCACAAACUCAUCCGCAACCACCCUAUGCCGCCAUGAACCUGCCCCAUCUCUUGGCUCAAUCAUGCCAGCGAUGAGGCCAUCCCGCACCCGGCGACGCCUGCUGCUACCAUCAAUUUGGCCGGCGCUGCUGUCAAUUCGUGCCGCCGCCGCAUCGAGGGGCUCCGCCGCGGCCUUCUCUACCUCCCCGACCCCUCCUCUUCUUCAAUUUCUCCGUGCUCCCACCGAAUUAGCCGUCGAUUUGUUCCGUGCGGGCGCGAGGUGGGCGGUGUGCUCGUGCAGGUGCAGGGUGGGCGGCGUGUGCGGGUACGACGUGCGAGGGGGGCGGCGCAGCGGCAGUGAGC
rnacentral:lncRNA from 1 species